CACAGGGCUCGGAUUCCAAAGCGUAAUUUGGGUCGGGUCUUGUCAAACAAUGGUUGGGACAACAAACAUCCAUCUCGUUCGUAUUUUGGAUACCCGUAUAACCAUCGAAGACUGUUGAAGUGACUAAUUCCUGCAAAUUUAAGGGCGUUGAAGACAAAGAAAUUGUUGGAGUAACUUUUUUUUUAUCUAAUACCAACAUGCUUGAUGUUAAGGAAAGAUCUUCUACAAGAAGGUUGGCUAGAGAUUUCAUGUAAAAACACCAGCCCCGCUUAGUUUAUAAUGAGAAU
rnacentral:lncRNA from 1 species